rnacentral:rRNA from 1 species
CAGAGGUUACUGCUAUCGUMGRYUCGACUAAGCCAUGCGAGUUGAAUGUUCUUCGUGAACAUGGCGGACUGCUCAGUAACACGUGGACAACCUACCCUUGGGUCCGGCAUAAUCCUGGGAAACUGGGAAUAAUUCCGGAUAGGUCACCGAUGCUGGAAUGCGCGGUGGCCGAAAGCUCCGGCGCCCGAGGAUGGGUCUGCGGCCUAUCAGGGUUGUAGUGGGUGUAACGUACCUACUAGCCUACGACGGGUACGGGUUGUGAGAGCAAGAGCCCGGAGAUGGAUUCUGAGACACGAAUCCAGGCCCUACGGGGUGCAGCAGGCGCGAAAACUUUACAAUGCGGGAAACCGUGAUAAGGGGAUCUCGAGUGCCAGCAUAUAAUGUUGGCUGUCCAGAUGCCUAAAAAGCAUCUGUUAGCAAGGGCCGGGCAAGACCGGUGCCAGCCGCCGCGGUAACACCGGCGGCCCGAGUGGUAACCGCUAUUAUUGGGUCUAAAGGGUCUGUAGCCGGCCAGGUAAGUCCCUUGGGAAAUCUGGCAGCUCAACUGUCAGGCUGCUAGGGGAUACUGUUUGGCUUGGGACCGGGAGAGGUGAGAGGUACCUUGGGGGUAGGGGUGAAAUCUUGUGAUCCUCGAGGGACCACCAGUGGCGAAGGCGUCUCACCAGAACGGGUCCGACGGUAAGGGACGAAAGCUAGGGGCACGAACCGGAUUAGAUACCCGGGUAGUCCUAGCCGUAAACGAUGCUCGCUAGGUGUCAGUCACGGUGCGACCGUGAUUGGUGCCGUAGGGAAGCCGUGAAGCGAGCCACCUGGGAAGUAUGGCCGCAAGGCUGAAACUUAAAGGAAUUGGCGGGGGAGCACUACAWCGGGUGGAGCCUGCGGUUUAUUG